GCGAAGGUGGCGGAAUGGCAGACGCACCAGGUUCAGGUCCUGGCGCCGGCAACGGUGUAGGGGUUCAAGUCCCCUCCUUCGCA
rnacentral:tRNA from 1 species